UCACAUACCUUUAGCUCAUCGGUCGACUGCCAGUGACGGUGGUGACCUAAACCAAAAUUUCAACCACCAUCAGACGCGCGAGGCUACGUUAGAUAUGGAUUUAGGAAUGGUUUUGGGAAUUGGUUGUUGUGUAAGCCAAAUCGAGGGUUUUCUUGGAAGAACCCUAAGUCAUUGGGAUCAAAUUAAAUGGAAUUUAGGGUGAAUUGACCUCUAUCUCCAUGGGGCUUGAACUCCCCUCCCUAGACACUACACUCUGGUGACUUUAAAGCAAGAAAAAGUUAAGAUAGGAAAAUGACUUACCGGAGAAGGAGAUCGGAAAAUUUGUCAGGUAAGUCCUUGAUUACUACAACAUGAUUCAUCCUACUCUCUUCUUCCUUUCUUCUUCUUCUUCUUCUUCUUCUUUCUUCUGGAAAUCAGGAACGAUGAAUCGAGAGUGAUGAGGUCUAGCUCAAGAAAUUUUAAGCUUCAAUGUGAAGCUUCAAUGGCUUAGGAGAAAUGAGAGCUCUGAGUGAGUGGUGAGGGAGAGAUUGUUGCAGAAUGAGAUUGAGUUUGUAGGCAAUGCAAAAAGUGAUUAAAUGAUGGUGAUGAACUGUUUAAAUAGGAGUGAGGUUUAGAGUUUGGUUAGGCUUGGAAUGAGGCUAGGGUUCUAUUAGAGGAGGCUUGGAGUUAGUUGGCAUUGGCUCACUGAGUUAGUAGUUAACUUAGUUAGUUGGGAAUGACUCAGUUAGUUAGGAAUGGUUAUGUUAUUUGGUGAAUGAGUGAAUUUGAAACUGGCUAAUGCAGGUUGUCUUUAAAUGGAUUUAGUCUAAUAGCUUGAGUCAUGACCUGCUGCAUAGGUUUUUCUUUUAAAGCCAAUGGUUAAUGACUUGAAUUAUUGUAAGUGUUAUGCUAUGGCUGAAACAGGUUAAUGUUAUGUUAUUGGGAUGCAGAUGGAUCAAUUGCUUGGUUAUGAACUUUGCACUUCCAAUGGACAGGGUGUUCAUGUAAGCCAUUACAGGUCUAGGUUUUCCACUGUCUGCACCAGCCUAUUGGAUACGUUGCAGUUUCUGCUCAUGGCUCUGCUACACUAUCAAUGAUGUUGGUUGCAGGUCUUGUGUUAUGGUUGAGUUGCAGGGACUGCAUGGUUUAGUUUGAGUUUGAAACAGGUUUUGGGGGUUUGGCUUGAUGCAAGUUGUUACAAUCAUGGUGUUGCAAGGCAAUCUCAUGGUCUUGUUGUUGUAGAACUGCUUGUGCAUUGCUAGGUCUAAUGUGUGAAGCAUAUUGUGAAUUGACAUGAUUCUGCUAUAGGAUAGCAAGGAAUAGCUUGCUGCUUGUGAUGUAUUGCAUGUUUUGUUUUUGUUGGUCUAUCAUUAUGCUGCUCAUGGUAUGCACUGCUUGAUGAUCCAUUUCAUAUCUUAAAUGCACAUUACAUUUAUGACCUGUAUUCUUCAGUAUGGAGUCAUUGUCUUGAUUCGAAUGUAUUGCAAACUUCAUGGUUGCAUCUUUCUGUCUUAGUCUUUCAGCAAGAUGAUCCAUCUUCUAGCUUGGUUCAGCUUGUGUGUAACAUGGUAUGGAAUGUAGCAUUCCUGUUUGUAGUAUCAUGACCAAAAUGGAAUGGUGUCUUAAUGUGUGAAGUUGCUAGGUUGGUUGUAAAGAGUAUGCCACAAAUCCAUGCUUGGAUGAAUGGUUGGUGGACACUUAUGCAAGGGCAGUGGUAUGUUUCUACAUUUAUUGAACAUAUGUCUUGCUUCUAUUUGAAAAUCAAGGGCAGUGUACCCACCAAAGUUUACCAAAGUCAACAAUUGGUCAAAGUCCUUUUUUUUGUAUUUUUCUUGUAAAUGAACAUUUAAUGGAUGAUUAUGGGUGAGUUUAGGGUUUUAGGAAUUUGGGUUGACUUUGGUCAAAGUUGACCAAAAGGUCAACUAUUGACCAAAGUCAACAUUUGGUCAAAAGUUGCCAAGGCUUGUAAUUUUUCAUGUAAUGAUCAAUGUGAUGGUUUAAAAUGG